rnacentral:rRNA from 1 species
UUUCGCAAUGCCCGAAAGGGUGACGAAGCGACGCCGCGUGCGGGAAGAAGGCCUUCGGGUUGUAAACCGCUGUCGGGAGUUAAGAAAUGUAAGGAUGUUAAUAGCAUCUUUGCUUGACUAAGGCUCCGGAGGAAGCCACGGCUAACUCUGUGCCAGCAGCCGCGGUAAUACAGAGGCGGCAAGCGUUGUUCGGAAUUAUUGGGCGUAAAGAGCACGUAGGCGGCUAUGUAAGUCGGUUGUGAAAGCCUUCCGCUCAACGGGAGAACAGCAUCCGAUACUGCAUGGCUUGAGUGCGGGAGGGGAGAGUGGAACUUCUGGUGGAGCGGUGAAAUGCGUAGAUAUCAGGAGGAACGCCGGUGGCGAAAGCGACUCACUGGCCUGCUACUGACGCUGAGGUGCGAAAGCUAGGGGAGCAAACGGGAUUAGAUACCCCGGUAGUCCUAGCCCUAAACGAUGGGCACUAAGUAGAGGGGUUUUA